rnacentral:rRNA from 1 species
GAUGAACGCUGGCGGCGUGCCUAAUACAUGCAAGUCGAGCGAACAGACGAGGAGCUUGCUCCUCUGACGUUAGCGGCGGACGGGUGAGUAACACGUGGAUAACCUACCUAUAAGACUGGGAUAACUUCGGGAAACCGGAGCUAAUACCGGAUAAUAUAUUUAACCGCAUGGUUCAAUAGUGAAAGACGGUUUUGCUGUCACUUAUAGAUGGAUCCGCGCCGCAUUAGCUAGUUGGUAAGGUAACGGCUUACCAAGGCAACGAUGCGUAGCCGACCUGAGAGGGUGAUCGGCCACACUGGAACUGAGACACGGUCCAGACUCCUACGGGAGGCAGCAGUAGGGAAUCUUCCGCAAUGGGCGAAAGCCUGACGGAGCAACGCCGCGUGAGUGAUUAAGGUCUUCGGAUCGUAAAACUCUGUUAUUAGGGAAGAACAAAUGUGUAAGUAACUAUGCACGUCUUGACGGUACCUAAUCAGAAAGCCACGGCUAACUACGUG